ACCUGAGUGUCUAUGGACAGACAGUCUCCUCACUCUACCCUUCCAGCCUUCCUUCUCUCUUUUUAUAGAUACUAAUAUACUUAGCCCAAGGUCUGGCUAAUAACCUUUACUUGCUCCAAUAUCCAUUUCACCCUGCGCACAUGCCGGUGAUGGUAGAGGCUAAAAUGAGAAGAGAGCAUUUGGAGAUGAGAAUCAGCUUAAAGACAAGAGCAACAUUACUCACAGAGCUCCAGUCUUGAUACACUAACAGUACUUGGCUCUCAUAAGAAUGACGUCAUUCGACUAGCUAAUGAUAGUUCUUUAAAUACCUCCUUCUCAUUCCAGCAACAAUCUAAUGGCCUCUCUUUAGUCUUCAUGGAGUCCUUCCAGUAUGAUGACACUCUUCCACAAUACAUAAGUUUGAGCUGAUUCGGACUUAAAGUUUUCAAGUUACCGGCAUAUUCAGAAAAGGCCAAACUCCAAAACUGAAAUACCCAAGUGGUCUACAGUGUCUAUAAUGCUAUGAUCAUUGUUGCCAUUCAUCCACUGGAAUACUGUAGAAUGUUUUUAGCUAUAACACUCCAGGUGUCAAUGUAUUGUAGUUGAAGAGGUGAGUCUCUUAAUUCAUUGGAUCAAUGUUCCCUCCCACUCAAUGCACUGGAGACUGGAACUGAGACAUAGUGUCAUUCUUCCUUA